CCCAGUGCUGUCUGUCGAGGCUGACCAUUGCUGGAAAAGCAAGCAACUCUACUUCCUUGCAGGAUCCCUCACUCCACCUCCUUCCCUGGCCAGCAGAGCUUACCAGGUCAGCCAAGAGUCCCAUCAACACUCACGGGAGGUGGGUGGCGGUCUCAGCCAGCAUCUCAGGACAGCAGCUGGGGCUCGGGCACAGGACACUCAGUUCAUCUCCCAUGGACUUCAUCCUGACCGUCCCUGUAAAGACUCGUCAAGAAACAGAAAACCACUGCAGAGGAACAAAUGGCCCAGCCAACCAUCUGCAGAGCCCCUCUUUGGACUCAUCCCACCAACAACGAAAGUCCAGGAGGUAGA
rnacentral:lncRNA from 1 species